GGGUGUAAUCAUACCAGCAGUAAUGCAUAGGAUCCCAUCAGAACUCCGUAGUUAAGGGUGCUUGCGGGAUAAUAGUAUUAUGAUAAGUGACCUUCUGGGAAGUCCUCGUGUUGCACCUC
rfam:Gossypium hirsutum cultivar TM-1 chromosome 14, whole genome shotgun sequence